rnacentral:rRNA from 1 species
CAACUGAAGAGUUUGAUCCUGGCUCAGAACGAACGCUGGCGGCGUGGCUAAGACAUGCAAGUCGAACGCGAAAGUUCCCUUCGGGGAGCAAGUAGAGUGGCGAAAGGGCGAGGAAUACAUGGGCAACGUACCCUUGGCACAGGGAUAGCCGCGGGAAACUGCGGGUAAUACCUGAUGAGACCACGGUGUCAUAAGGCACAGCGGUCAAAGGAUGGGGAUCCCUUCGGGGACCUGUCGGCCAGGGAGCGGCCCAUGUGCUAUCAGCUUGUUGGUGAGGUAACGGCUCACCAAGGCUACGACGGCUACCGGGACUGAGAGGUUGGCCCGGCGCAUCGGGACUGAGACACUGCCCGGACUCCUACGGGAGGCUGCAGUAAC